GAUGUAAUCCGGCAGCAGCAACCGGCCCAAAACAGCCAGCGUGCAGCUAAUGGGCCGCUCGCAUUCUGGCGCCGUCGUGCCACGCAAGGUCAGCGCCGGAGGAGGGCCAGGAGCAUCACGCGGCCUUGACCCGUGUGGCCCAGAUUCGGACGCCGGCCGGCCGGUCCGAUCGCCGCGCGAGCUUUUGCCGCCGUCCUCCUCGCCUCUCCUCCGGGCUUUCCUUGGGUCCGCUCUCCCUGUCUGCUCUUCCCGCCGACCAACCAGACCGGCCAGCCAGCCCUCCUCCACCGGUCGUCUUCGCUGACAGCUUCACUCAAAGAGGAAGGCUCGCGAGAAGGCCGGUGUUUUCCCGCGACGUUCACGCGCCCUCUUUUCUCCUCGCUGGACCGUCACCGAUAUGGCGCGAUCGGGCGUUCACCUGUAGCGCUGCUUUGCGCCACCAACGUGGUGACCGGCAUCAAGCUAUUUCGGCACGUGGACUUCACGCACGCCAACAGCGCUGAUCGCCAUCACCGAUAACAUCCAGUGAUGCCUCACAGUGGAACUGCUGAACUGCAUCACUUCACGGCGUAACCAACGCUGCAAAAGAGCGAUCCACUUCGCCCGCGUUGCGCUUGGCCGCAGCAGCCGUGGCAAAAAGGCAACCCAAGUAAACGGCUGUCUUCGAUUGCGCAGUCUUUUGCAGGGUCAAGCGAGGAACGGGGUGCACUCUCAACGAGGUGGGAUACAGGCUACUAUCGACGUACGCAAGUGCCUUUUCUAACAGCUGGACGCAAAUAAAGUAAGAAAUGAAACUUGG